rnacentral:rRNA from 1 species
UCUUUUCCUUUUGUUUCAGCAGCCGCGGUAAUACGUAGGGGGCAAGCGUUAUCCGGAUUUACUGGGUGUAAAGGGAGCGUAGACGGAUGGACAAGUCUGAUGUGAAAGGCUGGGGCUCAACCCCGGGACUGCAUUGGAAACUGCCCGUCUUGAGUGCCGGAGAGGUAAGCGGAAUUCCUAGUGUAGCGGUGAAAUGCGUAGAUAUUAGGAGGAACACCAGUGGCGAAGGCGGCUUACUGGACGGUAACUGACGUUGAGGCUCGAAAGCGUGGGGAGCAAACAGG